GAUGAACGCUGGCGGCGUGCCUAAUACAUGCAAGUCGAACGGAGUUCUAGUAGCAAUACUUGAACUUAGUGGCGAACGGGUGAGUAACGCGUUGGUGACCUGCCCCAAAGUGUGGGAUAACAGUCCGAAAGGAUUGCUAAUACCGCAUGCGAUCGUUGUUUUUAGAAAGCGACGAUCAAAGCAGUAAUGCGCUUUGGGAGGGGCCUGCGUCCCAUCAGCUAGUUGGUAGGGUAAUGGCCUACCAAGGCUAUGACGGGUAGGGGACCUGAGAGGGUGACCCCCCACAAUGGAACUGAAACACGGUCCAUACACCUACGGGUGGCUG
rnacentral:rRNA from 1 species